rnacentral:rRNA from 1 species
AAAUCAAUGUAUAGGAGGUCCUACCUGCCCAGUGACAUGUUAAACGGCCGCGGUAUUCUGACCGUGCUAAGGUAGCGCAAUCACUUGUCUUUUAAAUGAGGACCUGUAUGAAUGGUGGAACGAGGGCUUAACUGUCUCCCCUUUUAGGUCAAUGAAAUUGAUCUACCCGUGCAGAAGCGUGUAUAAUUAUACAAGACGAGAAGACCCUUUGGAGCUUAAGACAUAAGGUCAAGUAUGUCAAACUACCACAAACGAGUACAAAACAAAAUACUAGCUGACCAAAGUCUUCGGUUGGGGCAACCACGGGGGAAAAUGAAGCCCCCAUGCGGAAUGGGUUUAAACCUAAACCACGAGGGACACCUCUAAGUCACAGAACAUCUGACCAAAAGAUCCGGCACUUAGACCGAUCAACGGACCAAGUUACCCUAGGGAUAACAGCGCAAUCCCCUCCAAGAGUCCAUAUCGACAAGGGGGUUUACGACCUCGAUGUUGGAUCAGGACAUCCUAAUGGUGCAGCCGCUAUUAAGGGUUCGUUUGUUCAACGAUUAAAGU